rnacentral:misc_RNA from 1 species
AGUUUAAGUGCUUCAGCAAUAGCUUCCCCGAGAACAUUCUCUGAUCCGUACAUGGAGGCGGUGUCAAAAUGUCUAUAUCCAAGGCUGAUGGCAUCAAGGAUCGCUGCUUUCAUGGCGGAUUCGAUAAAUGGGUCUGCAGCUGUGCCCAAACCCAUCACUGGCAUGUCCCGAUUUCCCGAGGAUGAUCUCAGUUUCACUUGAGGGAUCUUGGUCACCGGAGUCUCCAUUUGUUCAACUUGUUCUACGGAGAAAAUAAUAAAGCAAUAAUUUAAGAGAUGAGGCACAGCUUCAGCAGCCCUCACUAUUUAUCGAACCAACGAGCCUGUCCACAUUACUGAAAUUACGUCGAAAAUAAGUUGAAAACUUAAUCGCCGGUCAAUGCCAAGUAUUUGUUGCCUAAGACAGGAAGC